UGGUUGUUAAGAAAAGAGCAUUCAGUUUCCGACGUGUGACAGUGUCUGGUCAUUGUGCAUUCAAUUGAUGGUACAAUUAAUGUAAAGUGAGGCGUACUGAUUGGAUUUCCUGUGUGUAUUUUUAAGAAUAUUAUAUCUUUGAGAUUAUAAAAGAAGUUUUUUUUUCCCCCCCGGCUUCGGCGAAAACGCUGUACUCAGCCGGCCCGAAGAAGGCACCGAGCAGGCACUGCAGCCCGAGCGGGAGGCGCGAUGAAGGUUCACAUGGGGGCGGCGGUGAAACGCCCGGGCCCGGCCCAGGCCCCAGCUCCAGCUCCAGCUCCGGUCCCGCUCAAGGAACCUGAUCCAAAGGCUGUCAAGGAAUGUGCCAUGGAGCUGAGAAACAUCGGGGAUCUGUUUAAUUUCCUCCACCUCAUGCUAAACACCGUCAACAAGAUGAUUCAACUGUCCACCUGAACACCAGAGUCAAGGCUACAACGCCAUAAAGUGGUCGGAAGAAGUGGUAUCAUCUUUCUUUAACUGUUCUCAGUUGGAAGAAUUCAUGUCUUGGCAUGUCAGCAACGGAAAACAGAUUGCAUUGUAAAGAGUGACGAAGUUAACGAAUGUGGAAGAGAAGAAAAAUAUUGUGAGGAUCUGUUUUUAGAAGUAAAAUAUGAUGUGAGGAUGAGCAGUAAAGCUACAAGUCCGGGAUAAAACAAAAUCUGAAAGUGGGAAGAUUUAGCUUAGAAAUAUGUAACAUUGCAAGAGCUGCAUUGUAAAAAUGCAAGCUGAACCAUACAUUAGCAUGUUACAAACAGAAUCUUUUGCCCAAUAAUUAAAUUUGCAUACAUGUUGGAGAGGUUUAUAUUGCUUCUGGAGAAAUAGUUUCUAAAUGUGGAAAGAGCUGCAAAUAUUAAAAAGAAUAAAACAGGAAACAUGGUUUAAGGCUUUGUGUAAAUCAUGAAAGAUGUGUUUGGAUUUGACUGGUUUGUUUUAUGAAAGAUUAUACUUAUUGUGUGUCUUUUGCGAUACAGUUAAAUGUCUUUUGAGAUGUAUUUUCCAUUAGUAGUACAAUAACAAAGUUAGUUAAAGUAGAGAUGUAUUGGUGCUGUCUUUGUAUGAGCAUUAGUUAAUGGGAGGAAACCUUUUUAAAAGGUCUCCAAUUUAAAAGUUAAUGGCAUUAAGAAUGAAAUAUUACCUUUGUAACUUUAUCAUCUAUUUCAUUUUGUAUUAUGACAAAACAGCAUACUAAGACAAAGCUAUUUGAUUCUGUAGUUUUUAGAAAUGCAUUAAAUCUUCUUCAAUUGUU